AUUGAACGCUGGCGGCAGGCCUAACACAUGCAAGUCGAGCGGAUGAAGGGAGCUUGCUCCUGGAUUCAGCGGCGGACGGGUGAGUAAUGCCUAGGAAUCUGCCUGGUAGUGGGGGAUAACGUCCGGAAACGGGCGCUAAUACUGCAUACGUCCUGCGGGAGCAAGUGGGGGAUCUUCGGACCUCACGCUAUCAGAUGAGCCUAGGUCGGAUUAGCUAGUUGGUGGGGUAAAGGCCUACCAAGGCGACGAUCCGUAACUGGUCUGAGAGGAUGAUCAGUCAGACUGGAACUGAGACACGGUCCAGACGCCUACGGGAGGCAGCAGUAGGGAAUAUUGGACAAUGGGCGAAAGCCUGAGCCAGCCAUGCCGCGUGUGUGAAGAAGGUCUUCGGAUGGUAAAGCACUUUAAGUGGGGAGGAAGGGCAGUAAGUUAAUACCUUGCUGUUUUGACGUUACCAACAGAAUAAGCACCGGCUAACUUCGUG
rnacentral:rRNA from 1 species